CAGACCUCGCCCUAUGCGUCUCUUCCAUCUGCUGUUCCUGAGUUAUAUUCGUUCAUAAUAAACCUGUGAUCUGGAAGACUCAAGUGGUCUCUGAAUUUUUCCUGGAAAACAAAAGUGGCCUUCAGAGGUCAAGCGGAGAGAAGUGACCGGAAUUUGCACUGCAUGAGCAUCGCUCCAUUCACAGGAAGAUAAUCAGUGGCUAUUUGGGGUUACCUGUCACGGGGGGACGUUUGCCAGAAGGAUCGGGGUCCCUGAGAGCCUUUUCUUUUGUGGCUGAAGUUAAAAAACAGCUGGAGGACGAGCGUCCCCGCUCAGCUGAUGUCGCAGUGUUGAAUAACUUCGUCUCAGGAGGUGAACACUCCGCGUUGCAAAAGUGACUGAAGCUUCAGUUCACAGACCGGAGUCUGGUGAGGGCGGAAUCCAAACUGUGAGAGGGUGACCCUCAUGUUGAGCAUCUCCCGGGCGCAGUCCUGUCUGCAGCUGGAGCGGUGGCGCCUCAUGCCUGUGCCUUCGUCAUCCCAGCAGAACCCAGGAGGGGAGCGCUGUUCCUCCUGCUGGGACGGUGUGGGCAGUCCUGCGUCAAUCAGUAAGCCUCCUGCUGUUAGGAAAAUAACCUGAGAUGAGUUAAAAACCAAAACAGUGAAGCGUCAAGACUCCAAACAAGCAGAAUAACAAGUAGUUGUAACACCCACCAGGCGCCUCAAAACCGGCAGCAGAGCCAGCGUCUGCCCUGCGUUCCUGCUUCAGAGAGGACGUCGCCGGGGCCUGGGGAGGCCACCGUCACCCGGAGCGAAGAUGGCCAGUGACAACCUGCCCGGUGGCCUGACAGGAAGGUAUGGAGAAGCGGCAGAGGAUGUCAUUUCUAUUACGGAUCAGCAGUGAUUCUGUGAAUCUACACGGAAAAGUAACCGAAUCAGAGGUUUUGGGGUGCCCACGUCUGUGGGGAAUUGUCCCAGCACCUUCUGCAGAGUCAGGAGGUCUGGGACCCUGACGCGGCUGCGUCCACAUUUCUGACGGUCUGGGCGCACACACACGUAUUUAUGUAAAUCCUGACUACAGACCCCAGUGAAUUAUCAUGAAGUGAACACAGGCACGUGAUGCCCCCGGGGCAAGAAAUGGGGCGUUUCCAGCACGACAGAGUCUCACCUGGUCCUGCCUCAAACCACGCCACGCUUCCGUCCAAGGCCUCUGUCUGACUUCUGACACUGCGGCUUAUUUUGAAUCCUUACAAAAUACAACAAAC
rnacentral:lncRNA from 1 species